rnacentral:rRNA from 1 species
AGGACGAACGCUGGCGGCGUGCUUAACACAUGCAAGUCGAGCGGAAAGGCCCUUCGGGGUACUCGAGCGGCGAACGGGUGAGUAACACGUGAGUAACCUGCCCUAGGCUUUGGGAUAACCCUCGGAAACGGGGGCUAAUACCGAAUAUUCAUGCUUCGCGGCAUCGUGGGGUGUGGAAAGUUUUUCGGCCUGGGAUGGGCUCGCGGCCUAUCAGCUUGUUGGUGGGGUGAUGGCCUACCAAGGCGACGACGGGU